rnacentral:rRNA from 1 species
CCUACGGGUGGCAGCAGUCGAGAAUCAUUCACAAUGGGGGAAACCCUGAUGGUGCGACGCCGCGUGGGGGAAUGAAGGUCUUCGGAUUGUAAACCCCUGUCAUGUGGGAGCAAAUUAAAAAGAUAGUACCACAAGAGGAAGAGACGGCUAACUCUGUGCCAGCAGCCGCGGUAAUACAGAGGUCUCAAGCGUUGUUCGGAAUCACUGGGCGUAAAGCGUGCGUAGGCUGUUUCGUAAGUCGUGUGUGAAAGGCGCGGGCUCAACCCGCGGACGGCACAUGAUACUGCGAGACUAGAGUAAUGGAGGGGGAACCGGAAUUCUCGGUGUAGCAGUGAAAUGCGUAGAUAUCGAGAGGAACACUCGUGGCGAAGGCAUCUCACGAAGCCGCGAUUGACGCUGAUGCACGAAAGCGUGGGUAUCAAACAGGAUUAGAUACCCGUGUAGUC